rnacentral:rRNA from 1 species
GACGAACGCUGGCGGCGUGCCUAAUACAUGCAAGUAGAACGCACAGUUUAUACCGUAGCUUGCUACACCAUAGACUGUGAGUUGCGAACGGGUGAGUAACGCGUAGGUAACCUGCCUGGUAGCGGGGGAUAACUAUUGGAAACGAUAGCUAAUACCGCAUAAUAUUAAUUAUUGCAUGAUAAUUAAUUGAAAGGUGCAAUUGCACCACUACCAGAUGGACCUGCGUUGUAUUAGCUAGUAGGUGGGGUAACGGCUCACCUAGGCGACGAUACAUAGCCGACCUGAGAGGGUGAUCGGCCACACUGGGACUGAGACACGGCCCAGACUCCUACGGGAGGCAGCAGUAGGGAAUCUUCGGCAAUGGACGAAAGUCUGACCGAGCAACGCCGCGUGAGUGAAGAAGGUUUUCGGAUCGUAAAGCCCUGUUGUAAGAGAAGAACGGGUGUGAGAGUGGAAAGUUCACACUGUGACGGUAUCUUACCAGAAAGGGACGGCUAACUACGUG